AUUGUGACAGAAUUUUGACAUUGUGAUGACGGAGUCCAGGCAGGUCACAGGUGCUGCACUUGAAUGGGGGAUAAUUGAUAAGUGUGAAUGAGAGGAGUAGCAGGAAGAGGAUGAUUUGCCAUUUUGCAAAAAGGCAUUAACUAGAGAAACUGGGACCAGAUUUACCCUUUUAUCUGGAACAACUGCAAACACUUAAAGGCAAACAGUAUGAAAACAACAGUUUAAGGCACAAGCCAUCCAACAAUGAAGGAUGAUGAAUCCUGAGAGACUGGAAAUGAAGGAUCUGAACUAUUUGAUUUCCCAAACUCACUGCCUUCAGAGUUUUCAGGCUGCAGCACAAAGAAGGGGGAACCCAGGCAGAGCCCAGUGGAUUCCCUGAGAGGAGUCACAGAGGGAUCCUAGUGAAGAGGAUUAUAACUUUGCCUGUUUUGUGAUGCGGAGGUGAUGUCAUGUUGUUCUACCAUUUUAUCAUUGUUCCUUCUGAGGAAUGACAUCAGACUGGGCUUGUGCCUGAUAAUUCAUUUCUGAAGGUGCAAUAUUAAGUGUCACAGUGUCCAGCUGGUGAUAUUUUCAGCAUAGAAACCUGUUAGACACGGCAGCAUUAAGGAGAUGGAAUGAAUUGAUUUAUUUCUCUUCUGAAUUGCUUGGCAGUGCUUCAAGAUUGACGCAUCAGAUUUGCACAAUGUGCCACUUUAGGAGAUUAUUUCUUCCUUCCUUCAGCCAGACAGAAGACUGCAGUAGGUAAUGAUAGCUUAAACUUGGGAAAUGUCCUUCUUCAGAGACAGCGUCACGGACAUUUUGGAGAGGAUCAGAUUACUCUACAGCUGCUUUCCCUGGUGGACCUGAGGAGGCACACCCCUGAGCCAGGACUUUAAGGGAGAGGGUAGAACAACCUAGAAGCUCAGAAGGGAUAUGGUUCCUGUUUGCCUAUUUCCAUCCACAACUCUGCCAGAGACGAAAGCAGUGUUUGAAACAAUUCACCAAGAUUUCCAUCUGGAAUCAUCAAGAAUGGAAUUGAUCAAAUUCCUUAAGAAAUUUACUUAAAGUCAUGAUUUUGACAGCCUAGUGCUACCUGGAAAAGGGACAGCAGCAGCCUGGAGCAGUUUUCUAGCUAACAAGAAUUUUGUUAGCUAUGUGGCCACCUAGUGGCUCUUCCAUGGAUGUCGCUGAUGCAUUGUCAGGUACACAGACAAUUGCCCACUAAUAAAGAAGUUAUUAUCUUUCUUGGAGGGCAAUAACAGAGAAAUAGAGGCCACCAUCUGUGUGAAUACUUCACUGUGAUUAUCUCUCACCAUCAUCAAAUAGUUCAGAGCACUGAUCCUCACGAGUUGGACAUUUCCCCAUGAAACAGUAGCCUUCUGAGUUCUUGCAAGGAAAUCCAUUGACCCUGAACUGGUCCUUAGGACAGGCAGGCGAGUGGCCAGUGCACAUCUCAGGAAAAUCACAUUCAUCUUUCGCCGGUCUGCAUAUGGACCCUGCUUUUUUUAUCUGUUGAGGAAAAACAAAGAGACUAAAUCCUGGAUACAUUUAUAACCACAAAAGAGAGAUGAGAAAUUGGGUCAUACUGCUUCCCUGUACUGAAGUGUGAUGUGAGACUAUUCAACUGCUGAAGAUCUGAUUUUACCUUUUGCUCAAGCUGUCCAUUAUUUCAGGCUGACUUUUAUUUUUUAAUGUAUCAUUAAAUAACAUCAAAAUGGUAACUUAUGCCCUAUUUUCUCAAACAAAAUAAAAACUCAAAGAAAAUGGAGUGU
rnacentral:lncRNA from 1 species